GUGGGGAAUAUUGGACAAUGGGCGAAAGCCUGAUCCAGCCAUGCCGCGUGUGUGAAGAAGGUCUUCGGAUUGUAAAGCACUUUAAGUUGGGAGGAAGGGUAGUAACCUAAUACGUUGCUACUUUGACGUUACCGACAGAAUAAGCACCGGCUAACUUCGUGCCAGCAGCCGCGGUAAUACGAAGGGUGCAAGCGUUAAUCGGAAUUACUGGGCGUAAAGCGCGCGUAGGUGGUUCAGUAAGUUGGAAGUGAAAUCCCCGGGCUCAACCUGGGAACUGCUUUCAAAACUGCUGAGCUAGAGUACGGUAGAGGGUGGUGGAAUUUCCUGUGUAGCGGUGAAAUGCGUAGAUAUAGGAAGGAACACCAGUGGCGAAGGCGACUACCUGGACUGAUACUGACACUGAGGUGCGAAAGCGUGGGGAGCAAACAGGAUUAGAUACCCGAGUAGUCC
rnacentral:rRNA from 1 species